rnacentral:rRNA from 1 species
UACAGAGGGGGCAAGCGUUGUUCGGAAUUACUGGGCGUAAAGGGCGCGUAGGCGGCCUGUUAAGUCGAACGUGAAAUCCCCGGGCUCAACCCGGGAACUGCGUCCGAUACUGGCAGGCUUGAAUUCGGGAGAGGGAUGCGGAAUUCCAGGUGUAGCGGUGAAAUGCGUAGAUAUCUGGAGGAACACCGGUGGCGAAGGCGGCAUCCUGGACCGAGAUUGACGCUGAUGCGCGAAAGCCAGGGGAGCAAACGGG